UACGAAGGGGGCUAGCGUUGCUCGGAAUCACUGGGCGUAAAGCGCACGUAGGCGGAUCUUUAAGUCAGGGGUGAAAUCCCAAGGCUCAACCUUGGAACUGCCUUUGAUACUGGGGGAUCUCGAGUCCGGAAGAGGUUGGUGGAACUGCGAGUGUAGAGGUGAAAUUCGUAGAUAUUCGCAAGAACACCAGUGGCGAAGGCGGCCAACUGGUCCGGUACUGACGCUGAGGUGCGAAAGCGUGGGGAGCAAACAGGG
rnacentral:rRNA from 1 species